UCACCCGUCACCGGCCUCCCGGCUGCUCCGGCCUCGGUUUCCCCAGAGAUCACCCCCCACCGGGGCCUUGCAGCACCCGAGGAGGUUGACAUGGAGGAACAGGACUCACCUCGCCCUGGGGGAAACAGAUUCCCCCAACGGCACUCUGUCCCCAGAGGAUAUACCCAGGUUAAUCCAGGAGCAGACGGUGCACCGCCCAUGUAUGUCACAUUUAACCCCUCCCAGGCUGCUACCCUUGUUACCUCACUCCCAGAUCCUGAAAAGCAUCCCAUGCCC